rnacentral:rRNA from 1 species
GACGAACGCUGGCGGCGUGCUUAACACAUGCAAGUGGAGCGACGAAGGGGGCUUCGGCCCCUGGCAGAGCCGCGAACGGGUGAGUAACACGUGGGUAACCCACCCCGAUGACCGGGACAACCCGAGGAAACUCGGGCUAAUACCGGAUGUGGUCCGUAGCCAUCAGGCGACGGACCAAAGAUAGCUUCGGCCUUCGCAUCGGGACGGGCCCGCGGCCCAUUAGCUUGUUGGUGGGGUAACGGCCUACCAAGGCGACGAUGGGUAGCUGGUCUGAGAGGACGAUCAGCCACACUGGGACUGAGACACGGCCCAGACUCCUACGGGAGGCAGCAGUGGGGAAUCUUGCACAAUGCGCGAAAGCGUGAUGCAGCAACGCCGCGUGGGGGAAGACGGCCUUCGGGUUGUAAACCCCUUUCAGUUGGGACGAAGCUUCGUCCGUUAAUAGCGGACUGGAGUGACGGUACCUUCACAAGAAGCCCCGGCUAACUACGUGCCAGCCGCCGCCGUAAAAC